GGCAACACUAGAGCGGGGAAGUACCUGGGGCAGGACGGCCUGUGGGUCUGACGGGUGCUGUUCCUCCGGGGCGAUGCACCCUGAGUGGGGUUCCUGGGCCCCCGCGAGCUCCCCGCCUCACCCACAGCCACCAGCACUCACUGUUGAGCACUUCUUGGUGUCUGCUGCCCUUCCUCCCUUGUUCUGCCCUGCGGCAGCUGAGUCCCCUCUCUCCUAGGAGGAGCUCGUUCUCUCUGGGAUUUAGUCCAUCAGUGGUCUUGCAGCUGUCACUGGCCAUGUCUGUCCUUGCUAAGGGGAGGUGGUGUUCUGGUGACCUUGUGCGUUACGGUGGAAGCGGAGCUGCAACAGUGGUAAUUAGGUUUGAGCAGAGCAAAAAGCUGCAGGGGCAGACAGCACCCUCCUGUGGAGCUGCCAAGGCUGGGCCAGCACAGGCUUCCUCCAGGAUGCACAGAGCUGUGCAGGCUGGGGUCCCUGCAGGAUGACUCUAUAGUGGGGUGCAGCCUUGGCCUGGACCCCAGGGCGCACCUGGCUCUGUGCCUCAUAUCCAGGAACUGAGCCUCAGGAAUGUGGAGGGCACAGGUGGGUUCAGAGGCCAUUUUCCUCAGGAGGAGGGCAGUGCUCCCUGUCUCUGCCUGACGCCCAAGGCUGUGUGGUGAGUGCCUGCUGAGGUGGCAUUCCCAGCGGUGGCCACAAACACAGCUCCAGCCCACACGCCCUUCAGGUGAGGCCCUGCUCUUGACCAGGGCCGUGGGCAGGACCAAGGAGCGUGUGCCCCUGUGGGACCGAGGGCUGAGGGAUGCCCAAGCUCGG
rnacentral:lncRNA from 1 species